GCGGUGUUUGGGGCGAAGCUGGGCGCGCGGCGCUCGAAGCACUCACUCGGCGGGUUUCGUGGUUGGUGGAGACAGCAAGGGCGCCCCGCAGACCGCACCCCUCGAGCUAUAGGUUCGCAGGCCCGACUCGACGGCGUCCCUAUUGCUGGCCCAGCGUAUGGUCAUUGGGGGCCAUUUCUUGCAGAGAUGCCCUGCUCCCUGACGCGCUCGCUCUUCUCCAGAGUUGGCCAAAGGUGCUCUUCCCCGCAGACCCUAACCACACCCAGUGGCAGUUGGAUUUCUUUGUAACUGGCUUUCUCACAUAUAUCAUCUCUUCUUUUGAUCACUGUUCCUGAUUGUGACAUUGUGCAAGUGUUAAAUUGUGUGCCUUUUGUUCCUGAAGAAAGAGGUAUGGUAAAGAUUGAAAUACUGGAGUAUAUAGUCUAUUAAGUAGUAAGUUGGUAUGUUUUAAUAUUGGACUAAAUAAAGUAAAAUAUAGGUUAAGUAUCCCAAAUCCAAAAAUCCAGAAUGCAAAAUUUUUUGAGUGCUGACAUGAUGGUCAAAGGAAAUGCUCUUUGGAACAUUUUGGAUUUUGAAUUUUUGGAUUUGAGAUGCUCAACUGGUAUAAUGCAAAUACUCUAAAAUCCU
rnacentral:lncRNA from 1 species